UUUUGGUCAUGUUGCGGGGGUGGAGAGCUAGGGCUACGCUGGAGAGAGAAAGGGGGUAGAGGGCACGGCAGCAGCGGGAGUAGAGGGCGAGGCGACGGCGGGGACGACGAGGCGGCCGGGCUGGAGAAGUAGCCCGCGCCGACGUCCUCGUAGAGGUGGAGAGGUGAGGGAGUGCGUUGUCGUGAGGUUGGGGGUGGGGGUGCGAGCCGACGGCGAUCCCAAAGAAUGGGAGCGACGGGGCGGCGCUAUCGAACUCUCACGUCGGCCGCCGCCGCCGCUUCCGCCGAGGAGUCUCGCCCCUGCGCAGAGGGCAGCUUUAGGUUCAGGCAAGCGCGCUCGAAGAGGAGGGGAGCUAGGCUAGAAGUGGAAGCGAGUACCACCGGCAGUCGACGGGAGGGCGGCCGCCGGUCGAACUGGGUGUACCGGGUGGAGGAGGGGUAGCGCCGUGAGACGCGCCGUGAACAACCGGUGGCAACCCGAACGAACGCCGCGUGUCUAUCCCAGCGCGCGCUGUCGAUGUAGUAGCAACCUAGACGGGAAAGCAGGCUGUCGCUGGGGUUGGGGUCGCGGGAGGAGGUGGCGGACGAAGGGGGUGAGGGCGAACUGAGGUGCCCGGCCACCGCUACGAGACGGGCCUCUAGGCACCUAGACGCAGACGGUCGGCGUAAACCGGGAGGCAGGUGACACGAGACGGCCGGGACCGAGCGCGGCCCCACCGGGAACCGAGCAGUGGUCCGAGGACACACCGAACGAGAGCGUGCGGAUCUACGUGGUAGCAGCCCAAGGGACAACGGGGAGACUAUACUAUUUACGUAGGUGGGGAGCGUAGGUAACCGAACCCAUGGACUACCUAAACCAGACCAGGCGGAUGUUUCUACAACCAAGGUAACAAACGUGUACAUAGGACUACGGCCAAAGAGCGGCACCGACAGUUCAUGGCGGAGCACUUCCUCACCUCUUCUGUUGCACGAGACCAAGAGGAGGUCGUACCAGUUUUGUUACCACGGAAGUGGGAACGAGCACGGAGUUGGGUGUACCAGUAGAAACUCUGCACCAUAAGUCAGUGUACUGUCUCAAGAGAAAUAGGAACUCCAGUCCACGCCGUUGAUCGCUGUACACGACCUCGAAGACCGCCACCGUAGUGGACGUAGUUGGAGAGGGACCAGCGGAAGCUCUCACACACGCCGACUGGUAGUUCGAACAAUACUGCGUGAAACUUAAAGACUCGUUCAGCAUCGGAAAAGUCUAAGUAGUUGUGUCCAAUGUAGUCAUCAGUUAUACCAAGUCUACGUAUUAUCAUGCAUGAAGUAAAGGAAAAACAACACAUGCCACAGGAUGUUGUACCUAGUAUAUAUAUAUAUAUAUAUAUAUAUAGCCAAUAGAAAGUCCAAGUCAAACGACACCACUUAAGAAGAACUUAAACAACGUCGUUUGAACACCAGUACAUACCAAAAAUCAAAACAUUCGUACGUAUCAAAUCUUCAAUCUUCGGAGCAAGUACAUAACAAGAUUUGACUUUCAAAUUCACCGAAAAGGUGGGUACCAUAACACCACCAGUAUUAUCGUGUGGAGUGUUAAUAUCUACCGGUCUAGAUGUUCGGGACUCUCCACACAAAAAAUCGGGGGAGACAAAGAGGACCCGUAGUUAGAUACGUGUUGUUCGAGAAGUCACGAACUACCGUUUAUUUCCAACGUAGAAUCUAUCAACGAACUAAACUUACUCGGUAAAACGACAGUCGAUUUGACAAUUUUCAGUCUACAUUCUAAUACAAAGAACCGUGUACUCAAUAAAAAGUCAGUUGCGCACCGCUCAGGUGAAGCUUGACUAUAUACGUGAAAAAUAAACUUUGACUUGGUGGUACCAAAUUAAAAUAAAAGUAAACCUGUUCAAUGGGGCUCAUAGUAGUCAAGUACUACUGACCAAACCACACCACUUAACUAGGACCACAACGAAAUUCUCAAAAAAUACUGUGACAGAACAUUCCCUCAUUCCAGACCAUAGAUAUACCGAUAAUAAAAUAGAGAAUGUCUAACGGUAUAUACUGUACGAUUAACAAAAAUCGAGAACUAUAUCAAUUUGAAAAAAAAGGCUUUGCUUCCGUUUUCUAAACGGAGUAGGUAAUAUACCCUCCUCUUAUCUCAAUUUGAAACCUACGUGGUCACGGACUACGUAUACAAACAAAUGAACCAAACUUGAGACUUACUAUACAACAAUAGGACUAACGUACGGACUACUCAACCAAGACGACCAUAAAACUCCUCCGUUCGACACCAAAAUGAGGACCGGGACUCUUCCCACUUGAUCCGGUAUCGCUCCCGCGGAAGUCCUUGUAGCUCAGUCCCACGGAGUGAAAGAUAAAGUUAGACGCUCCCACUAUGCAUACUUCCUUUUCUCGGUCUCGUCGCGAACCUAUUUUCAGUCACGACCUUAAACAAACCGUAUACGCCUUUAGAACCAUUUCCUAUUCCUGCGUGUGCCGCCACUCCAAUCAUCCCCGCAUUGUUUGCUCUUCCUUCCCGCACCGUUACCGGUAAGUACACAGUCUGCUUUUAACAUGUGGGUGUACACACUGCUCCGACCUGAACUGUAUACGUAGUUGCUCGUACCACUACUCCACUCUCAACCUUCGCACCUACAUGAACUGUUCCUCGUUCAUCUACGCUCGUUCGUACCACCCGUUACAGCUGCUACAAGUGCGCUUACUCUUCUGGUUUCUCCUUCCACUACGUACGGACACGUAUAAACACCGCCUUACCUGUCAAACACCCAUUAAUCGGUCACAGAAACCUGUCCAACAGCUGUCUAUUUUCAAGAUAUCAAACCGAACUCCUCAUUGUAUCUGUCCGUACGACCACGAUAUUCCGAUAUAGAGAGAAGCACCUGUUCUCGUAUGUUACGAGUUCAAAGUACCUUCAAAAAUUUAAGGUAAUACUCCGAGUUAGACUUUAUUUUACCACAGAACGAAAUGGUUUGAGAACUACGCAGGCACAAAGUUGAACAAUACAACAGGAAUGGGAUUGAAAAAGUAAGAAUCAACAU
rnacentral:rRNA from 1 species